rnacentral:rRNA from 1 species
AUUGAACGCUGGCGGCAGGCCUAACACAUGCAAGUCGAGCGGAAACGAGUUAUCUGAACCUUCGGGGGACGAUAACGGCGUCGAGCGGCGGACGGGUGAGUAAUGCCUAGGAAAUUGCCCUGAUGUGGGGGAUAACCAUUGGAAACGAUGGCUAAUACCGCAUGAUGCCUACGGGCCAAAGAGGGGGACCUUCGGGCCUCUCGCGUCAGGAUAUGCCUAGGUGGGAUUAGCCAGUUGGUGAGGUAAGGGCUCACCAAGGCGACGAUCCCUAGCUGAUCUGAGAGGAUGAUCAGCCACACUGGAACUGAGACACGGUCCAGACUCCUACGGGAGGCAGCAGUGGGGAAUAUUGCACAAUGGGCGCAAGCCUGAUGCAGCCAUGCCGCGUGUGUGAAGAAGGCCUUCGGGUUGUAAAGCACUUUCAGUCGUGAGGAAGGUAGUGUAGUUAAUAGCUGCAUUAUUUGACGUUAGCGACAGAAGAAGCACCGGCUAACUCCGUGCCAGCAGCCGCGGUAAUACGGAGGGUGCGAGCGUUAAUCGGAAUUACUGGGCGUAAAGCGCAUGCAGGUGGUUUGUUAAGUCAGAUGUGAAAGCCCGGGGCUCAACCUCGGAAUAGCAUUUGAAACUGGCAGACUAGAGUACUGUAGAGGGGGGUAGAAUUUCAGGUGUAGCGGUGAAAUGCGUAGAGAUCUGAAGGAAUACCGGUGGCGAAGGCGGCCCCCUGGACAGAUACUGACACUCAGAUGCGAAAGCGUGGGGAGCAAACAGGAUUAGAUACCCUGGUAGUCCACGCCGUAAACGAUGUCUACUUGGAGGUUGUGGCCUUGAGCCGUGGCUUUCGGAGCUAACGCGUUAAGUAGACCGCCUGGGGAGUACGGUCGCAAGAUUAAAACUCAAAUGAAUUGACGGGGGCCCGCACAAGCGGUGGAGCAUGUGGUUUAAUUCGAUGCAACGCGAAGAACCUUACCUACUCUUGACAUCCAGAGAACUUUCCAGAGAUGGAUUGGUGCCUUCGGGAACUCUGAGACAGGUGCUGCAUGGCUGUCGUCAGCUCGUGUUGUGAAAUGUUGGGUUAAGUCCCGCAACGAGCGCAACCCUUAUCCUUGUUUGCCAGCGAGUAAUGUCGGGAACUCCAGGGAGACUGCCGGUGAUAAACCGGAGGAAGGUGGGGACGACGUCAAGUCAUCAUGGCCCUUACGAGUAGGGCUACACACGUGCUACAAUGGCGCAUACAGAGGGGCGGCCAACUUGCGAAAGUGAGCGAAUCCCAAAAAGUGCGUCGUAGUCCGGAUUGGAGUCUGCAACUCGACUCCAUGAAGUCGGAAUCGCUAGUAAUCGUGGAUCAGAAAUGCCACGGUGAAUACGUUCCCGGGCCU